rnacentral:rRNA from 1 species
GAUGAACGCUGGCGGCGUGCCUAAUACAUGCAAGUAGAACGCUGAAGCUUGGUGCUUGCACCGAGCGGAUGAGUUGCGAACGGGUGAGUAACGCGUAGGUAACCUGCCUGGUAGCGGGGGAUAACUAUUGGAAACGAUAGCUAAUACCGCAUAACAGUCGACAUUGCAUGAUGUUGAUUUGAAAGGGGCAAUUGCUCCACUACCAGAUGGACCUGCGUUGUAUUAGCUAGUUGGUGAGGUAACGGCUCACCAAGGCGACGAUACAUAGCCGACCUGAGAGGGUGAUCGGCCACACUGGGACUGAGACACGGCCCAGACUCCUACGGGAGGCAGCAGUAGGGAAUCUUCGGCAAUGGGGGCAACCCUGACCGAGCAACGCCGCGUGAGUGAAGAAGGUUUUCGGAUCGUAAAGCUCUGUUGUAAGAGAAGAACGAGUGUGAGAGGGAAA